rnacentral:rRNA from 1 species
ACKGCUCAGUAACACGUGGCUAACCUACCCUCGAGACAGGGUCAACCCCGGGAAACUGGGGCUAAUCCCAGAUAGAUGAAGACCCCUGGAAUGGGUCCUCGUCUAAAAGGCAUCAUGGUUAUGCUCUGUGAUGUCGCUCAAGGAUGGGGCCGCGUCCGAUCAGGCUGUUGGUGAGGUAAUGGCUCACCAAACCUAUAACCGGUACGGGCCGUGGGAGCGGGAGCCCGGAGAUGGGCACUGAGACAAGGGCCCAGGCCCUACGGGGCGCAGCAGUCGCGAAAACUUUGCAAUACACGAAAGUGUGACAGGGCUAUCCCGAGUGCCAUCCGCUGAGGAAGGCUUUUACCCAGUCUAGGAAGCUGGGGGAAUAAGGAGAGGGCAAGUCUGGUGUCAGCCGCCGCGGUAGUACCAGCUCUCCGAGUGGUGUGGAUGUUUAUUGGGCCUAAAGCAUCCGUAGCUGGCUAAGUUAGUCCCUUGUUAAAUCCACCGAAUUAAUCGUUGGAUCGCGGGGGAUACUGCUUGGCUAGGGGACGAGAGAGGCAGACGGUAUUUUCGGGGUAGGGGUGAAAUCCUAUAAUCCCGGGAAGACCACCAGUGGCGAAGGCUGUCUGCUAGAACGCGCCCGACGGUGAGGGAUGAAAGCUGGGGGAGCGAACCGGAUUAGAUACCCGGGUAGUCCCAGCUGUAAACGGUGCAGGCUAGGUGUUUGGACGGCCACGUGCCGUUCUAGUGCCGCAGGGAAGCUGUUAAGCCUGCCGCCUGGGGAGUACGAUCGCAAGAUUGAAACUUAAAGGAAUUGGCGGGGGAGCAC